rnacentral:rRNA from 1 species
AUGAACGCUGGCGGCGUGCCUAAUCCAUGCCAGUCGAGCGCACAGACGAGGAGCUUGCUCCUCUGACGUUAGCGGCGGACGGGUGAGUAACACGUGGAUAACCUACCUAUAAGACUGGGAUAACUUCGGGAAACCGGAGCUAAUACCGGAUAAUAUAUUUAACCGCAUGGUUCAAUAGUGAAAGACGGUUUUGCUGUCACUUAUAGAUGGAUCCGCGCCGCAUUAGCUAGUUGGUAAGGUAACGGCUUACCAAGGCAACGAUGCGUAGCCGACCUGAGAGGGUGAUCGGCCACACUGGAACUGAGACACGGUCCAGACUCCUACGGGAGGCAGCAGUAGGGAAUCUUCCGCAAUGGGCGAAAGCCUGACGGAGCAACGCCGCGUGAGUGAUGAAGGUCUUCGGAUCGUAAAACUCUGUUAUUAGGGAAGAACAAAUGUGUAAGUAACUAUGCACGUCUUGACGGUACCUAAUCAGAAAGCCACGGCUAACUACGUG